rnacentral:rRNA from 1 species
GAUGAACGCUGGCGGCGUGCCUAAUACAUGCAAGUCGAGCGAACGGACGAGAAGCUUGCUUCUCUGAUGUUAGCGGCGGACGGGUGAGUAACACGUGGAUAACCUACCUAUAAGACUGGGAUAACUUCGGGAAACCGGAGCUAAUACCGGAUGAUAUUUUGAACCGCAUGGUUCAAAAGUGAAAGACGGUCUUGCUGUCACUUAUAGAUGGAUCCGCGCUGCAUUAGCUAGUUGGUAAGGUAACGGCUUACCAAGGCAACGAUGCAUAGCCGACCUGAGAGGGUGAACGGCCAACCCGGAACUGGGACCCGGUCCAGGCUCCUACGGGAGGGAGCAGUAGGGAAUCUUCCGGAAUGGGCGAAAGCCUGUCGGAGCAACGCCGCGUGAGUGAUGAAGGUCUUCGGAUCGUAAAACUCUGUUAUUAGGGAAGAACAUAUGUGUAAGUAACUGUGCACAUCUUGACGGUACCUAAUCAGAAAGCCACGGCUAACUACGUG